GCUGGGCAUGGUGGUGCAUACCUGUAAUCCCAGCUACUUGGGAGGCUGAGGUGGGAGGAUUGAUUGAGCCCAGGAGGUUGAGGCUGCAGUGGGCCAUGAUCAUGUCACUGCACUGUAGCCUGGGCAACAGAGCAAGACCCUGUUUCAA
ensembl:misc_RNA Metazoa_SRP Metazoan signal recognition particle RNA